CGCCUCCGGCGUUUCUUCCCCGGGCAGCACCUCGCCCAGAGCCCUAAAUAUCUUCGAUCGGGAUUUGAAGAGGAAACAGAAAAACUGGGCUGCCCGGCAGCCUGAGCCGAUGAAGUUCGACUACCUGAAGGAGGAGGUUGGAAGUCGGAUCGCAGACCGUGUGUAUGACAUCGCCAGAAAUUUUUCCCUUGCUUUGGAUGUUGGCUGUGGAAGAGGAUACAUAGCACAACAUUUGAACAAGAAAAGUAUCUUAGAAAUGGAAAUUCCUACUGUCAGCAUUUUAGCUGAUGAAGAGUUCCUUCCCUUCAGAGAAAAUACAUUUGACUUGGUGGUUAGCAGUUUAAGUUUACACUGGGUGAAUGACCUUCCUAGAGCGCUUGAACAGAUUCAUUACGUUUUAAAACCAGAUGGAGUAUUUAUUGGUGCAAUGUUUGGAGGUGACACACUCUAUGAACUUCGGUGUUCACUACAGUUGGCAGAAACAGAAAGGGAAGGAGGAUUUUCUCCACAUGUUUCUCCUUUCACUGCUGUCAAUGACUUAGGACAUCUGCUUGGGAGAGCUGGCUUUAAUACACUGACUGUGGAUACUGAUGAAAUUCAAGUUAACUAUCCUGGGAUGUUUGAAUUGAUGGAAGAUUUACAAGGUAUGGGUGAGAGUAACUGUGCUUGGAAUAGAAAAGGCCUGCUGCACCGAGACACGAUGCUGGCAGCCGCAGCGGUGUACAGAGGUAAGCGAGAGGGCCGUCUUUCCCACCCUCGCCUCACUGAGGAACGUGUGCCCUGCCGGGUUUAUCCCUUAAAGUUGUCAGUACUUUUUCCUUUCCCGUUGAGGCAUCAGAUUUUUUGUCCUUCCUUUCAGAACACAGAUCUUGUAGUUCCAUAUCCUUUUUCCAAACAGCCCUUAACUGGUAUUUCUGUCAGCUUCUCAGCGUUGUGGAUUUUUCAUGUAAGGCAUUCUCAAAGUCCUCCAAAUAUCCCAAUAUCCAUUUCUCUUCGGAGACAUGACUUUUACUGAACAGAUUUUUUUCCUCCUACUUCCAUUUUUUUCAGAUUGUAACCAUUAUUUGUCUUUAUAGAAAUGUACAAAAAUGAGGAUGGUUCAGUACCUGCCACAUAUCAGAUCUAUUACAUGAUAGGAUGGAAAUACCACGAUUCACAGGCAAGACCAGCUGAAAGAGGUUCGGCCACUGUGUCAUUUGGA